UUGACACUUCGUACCGAAGGAUCGUAGCAUGAACGUUGUCGCGCCCUCUGCUGAGUUCUCAAGCUUAGACUACGGUAAAAACAUGCCGAUACUCAAAUCAUCCACUCUUAGCAUGAGCAUGCCCCACUACAGCGUCCACGUGGGGGCAGCGCGGCAGCACUGGGUUUGAUGCCCCCCCAUGCCGCCAGAACUGUGUCUUGUAACGAAGAGGGCAGCGGCGUGGGGAAAUCUACAGAGCCCUUUCUGCCAAAUCAGCUAGAGAAUGAAUUGGCAAACAUCGACGAAAGCCAGCCCGUCAGGAUCAGCAUCACCAUGACCCUGACGACGACGCUGAACGCGCGCUGGGAGACCGUUCUCUGGCGGCAGCGUCUCUAUGUGCAGGUGCCCAAUGGGCUCCUGCCAGACGGCUCCAAGGAGGGGUAAGCGACCACAUACCGCCCGC